rnacentral:rRNA from 1 species
GACGAACGCUGGCGGCGUGCUUAACACAUGCAAGUCGAACGGAAAGGCCCUGCUUGCAGGGUACUCGAGUGGCGAACGGGUGAGUAACACGUGGGUGAUCUGCCCCUUAUUUUGGGAUAAGCCUGGGAAACUGGGUCUAAUACUGGAUAGGACCAUGCUGUAGGUGGUGUGGUGGAAAGAUUAGUUUCGGUAAGGGAUGAGCUCGCGGCCUAUCAGCUUGUUGGUGGGGUAAUGGCCUACCAAGGCGUCGACGGGUAGCCGGCCUGAGAGGGUGGACGGCCACAUUGGGACUGAGAUACGGCCCAGACUCCUACGGGAGGCAGCAGUGGGGAAUAUUGCACAAUGGGCGCAAGCCUGAUGCAGCGACGCCGCGUGGGGGAUGACGGCCUUCGGGUUGUAAACUCCUUUCAGCCAUGACGAAGCCCUUGUGGUGACGGUAGUGGUAGAAGAAGCACCGGCUAACUACGUG